AGACGUCUACAUUAGAUACCCGGGUAGUCCCAGCCGUAAACUAUGCGCGUUAGGUGUAUCGGUGACCACGAGUCACCGAGGUGCCGAAGGGAAACCGCGAAACGUGCCGCCUGGGAAGUACGGUCGCAAGGCUGAAACUUAAGGAAUUGGCGGGGAGCACCACAACGGGUGGAGCCUGCGGUUUAAUUGGACUCAACGCCGGGAAGCUCACCGGAUAAGACAGCGGAAUGAUUGCCGGGCUGAAGACUCUGCAUGACUAGCUG
rnacentral:rRNA from 1 species